rnacentral:misc_RNA from 1 species
UCCGGCUUAUCACCGGCAGUUUCCUUAGAGUUCCCAGCAUAACCUGUUGGCAACUAAGGAUGAGGGUUGCGCUCGUUGCGGGACUUAACCCAACAUCUCACGACACGAGCUGACGACAGCCAUGCAGCACCUGUGUGGUAGCCAGCCAAACUGAAGGAUAACUUUUCUGCUAUCCAUACUACCCAUGUCAAGGCCUGGUAAGGUUCUUCGCGUUGCCUCGAAUUAAACCACAUGCUCCACCGCUUGUGCGGGUCCCCGUCAAUUCCUUUGAGUUUUAAUCUUGCGACCGUACUCCCCAGGCGGAGUGCUUAAUGCGUUAGCGUCGCCACUGAGCCCUACGGACCCAACGGCUAGCACUCAUCGUUUACGGCGUGGACUAC